GUCGGAUCUUUCAACCACGACGUUAUACUGUGGAACCAAUACAUCAUCGAUAUGCAAAGGAAUGAAAUGUGAUGAAGUACGCAAAUGCUACAAAAGUGGUUUUGUAUGCUUUCGCGGGAUCGAUUUGAAAACGAGGGAACCGAAACCUCUCCCGCCAAAAUUCCAUAAUCAAGCUCCUUCGAAGGCCGCGAAAACCGCGAAGCGUAGUAGCACAAAUUAGACUUGGAAUGAAAAGAGAAAGAAGUGGCAUCUUUGCUCGGGAGAAGAAAUGGCAUCUUUGCUCGGGACAUGGUUCCAGUCCAAGAGGUCAUCAGAGGCAUAUGAAUGGUUCCGGCCUAAGGGAGAGCUUAAAUUUUGGCCAAAACAUGUGUAGAAGGGGUACAUUCCGCCUAAGUACUCCUUCACAACCUGGCAAGCCAUCAAUGGAAGACUAUGGACACGAGAUAGAUUCACAUGACUGGCGGAUGUAGGUGGGGUCACGUGGGGUCGGCCGACCCCACCGCCGGCCCCAGCGACCCGCCGUAAAAUACCCUCCAGCAGCCUCCGACCCCACGGCAUCCAAACCCCUGCCCCGUCGGCCUACUCGCUGGUUCUUCUGAUUUUCGCCGCUACUAUUUCUUUGAUUUAGAAAUGGGCCUUUUUAUUUGACUUAAAAUACUUUUGGUUUUACAGUCCAUAGAUAUACAAAAAGUAAAUGUAUGUCAGCAUUUGUUCCAUUAUUUCAGUUCCAAACUAAGUUAAUGCAAUUACGCAAAAUCAAAUUUUAAGUGUA